rnacentral:tRNA from 1 species
CGACAUAGCUCAAUUGGUAGAGCAACUGAUUUGUAAUCAGUAGGUUACGGGUUCAAUUCCUGUUGUCGGC